CUCCUCUUGAAUAGCAUAGGAGGUAUGAUCUGCUCCAUGCAGAAGUAAAUUGCCGCAGUAUCUUGACUGUGCUAAGGUAGCAAAAUAAUUUGGCUUUUAAUUGGAGUCUGGAAUGAAUGAUUUGACAAAGUCUAGUCUGUCUCACUUAUUAUUCUUGAAAUUGGAAUUUUUGUAAAAAUACAAAAAUAAACGAGAGGGACGAAAAGACCCUAUAGAUCUUUACUCUUCUUAUUUAAUAAAUAUUGAUUUUAGUAAGUUGAGUUUUCUUGGGGCAAGACUAAAAAUCGAAUUUUGGUUAAAGAAAAAGAUUGAUUAAUCAAAAAGAUGAGACGAAGUAAGAUAAGUUACCUUAGGGAUAACAGGAUAAUUUCUUUCCUUAGAACUUAUAAGGAAAGGAGUUUAUCACCUCGAUGUUGAAUUAAGUUUUCUUUUAUUCGUAGAAGGAUACGGAGUUAGUCUGUUCGACUAUUAAAAACUU
rnacentral:rRNA from 1 species